rnacentral:ncRNA from 12 species
UCGUGGUUUAGUGGUAAAAUCUCCGCCUCCCACGCGGAGGCCCCGGGUUCGAUUCCCGGCGG